rnacentral:rRNA from 1 species
CAAUAGCGUAUAUUAAUGUUGUUGCAGUUAAAAAGCUCGUAGUUGGAUAUCUGGCCUUUGCGUUGCCGACCCGCCCUCUUUUGGGAUGAGCGUUGGAGACGUGGGUCUAUUUUCCGGUUGGUGUCCAUUCCACUUUAUUGGGGCGUGGUUCACGAUCCGGAUCGUUUACUUUGAAAAAAUUCGAGUGUUCAUAGCAGGCUUACGCCGUGAAGAUCGCAGCAUGGAAUAAUAACAUAGGACUUGGCGUUCUAUUUUGUUGGUUCUGGAACCUAAGUAAUGAUUGAUAGGGACAGUUGGGGGUGCUGCUAUAGACUGGCCAGAGGUGAAAUUCUAAGACUCAGUCUAGAGCAACUUAUGCGAAAGCAUUCACCAAGGAUGUCUUCUUUAA